AGCAGAAAUCAACAUGAUUUUCUCUUUGCUCUCCUUCAAAGAGCAAAGAGAAUGAUUUUCUUUUUGCUCUCCUUCAAAGAGCAAAGAGAAUAAAAAAUUUCCUGUUUUAUGACUGCUCUUUUUUCUCAGAUAAUCUGAGCCAAGACCAGUGCACAUAUAUCACUCUUACUUCAUGAGAGCUCCUGUCUUUUGGGUUCACAAAUUCUUCUGGGUUUUGAGGGUGAGAGGCUGGUUCACCAAAGAGGUGUGAGAUUGCGAUUCCCUGACUUCUGUUGACAGAGGGCCCAGGUUGGAGCCAAGUGUGAACUCAACCUGAGGAAUUAGGCCUCCAUGAUUGAGCUUGAGCAAAAGACAAAUUGGAAAACAGAGACAUUUAAGUUUGCAUUUUCAUUAAAAUAGGACUUUACAAAAUAGAUCUUUUCUUUCUUUCUAGUCAAAAGGAGAGGUUGCAUUGAAAAGACUUUGGGGGAACAUAAUACAGUGGCUGUUACAUUGCUCUCCUUGAAUUGAUUUGCCUGUGUGGUCCUGCAGAUCAGAAGUCUGGAGGACGAGGCUGCUACUCUGCUCGAAGAAUUGAUGAGAGCCCUGCUGAGCCCACACUGGAAACAGAGAACUGAGGGAGCUGAUGGAAGACAGAAAAUCAGCAGGUGUGGAGCAUGAGAAUAACCCAGAGAAGGACAAGGUAAUGGUGGAACGGUGGCUGCCCAAGGACCUGAGUAUACGGGCAAGUUGAGCUCAGAACAAUCUGGAGAAACUGAGGAACGUGUACAGUAGCAUCCAACCCUGCAAGGAGCAGCCUGAGGAGAGCAGUGAGGACUGGGGGUGUAACGCACUCCACAGUGAACAGUGCACCUGCCAGGGAGCCCCACAGGACAGACGGGGGUUGGUUUGCACUGCCGGGAAGCACCGUUUCUAAGGGUAGGAUGGUGUGACCAUGAGGCUCUGCCCCAGUCCCCAA